CCUACGGGUGGCAGCAGUGGGGAAUAUUGCACAAUGGGGGAAACCCUGAUGCAGCGACGCCGCGUGAGUGAAGAAGUAAUUCGUUACGUAAAGCUCUAUCAGCAGGGAAGAAAAUGACGGUACUUGACCAAGAAGCCCCGGCUAACUACGUGCCAGCAGCCGCGGUAAUACGUAGGGGGCAAGCGUUAUCCGGAUUUACUGGGUGUAAGGGGAGCGUAGACGGCAGCGCAGGUCUGGAGUGAAAUGCCGGGGCCCAACCCCGGAACUGCUCUGGAAACUGUGAAGCUGGAGUGCAGGAGAGGUAAGCGGAAUUCCUGGUGUAGCGGUGAAAUGCGUAGAUAUCAGGAGGAACACCGGCGGCGAAGGCGGCUUACUGGACUGUAACUGACGUUGAGGCUCGAAGGCGUGGGGAGCAAACAGGAUUAGAUACCCGAGUAGUC
rnacentral:rRNA from 1 species